AUUUAAAGGUUGGCAGUGGAGGUGAGAGUAUUCUACUUAAGAUCUUUGUAAGCCUGAGGUUUUCUGAGCCUGGUGAUCCUACGCCCCUGCCUGAAAUGACGCUGGUGCUUGUAGGAGGUGUUUUUCUCUGGACUGUGAGACUAGUGAGAUGCUGAAGCUGAGCACGGAACAGAUUCGCAGCUGAUUGCCCUCAUUGGAGCCUGGGACGUGCUGUGCCCAAGCCAAGCAUCUGAGGGGUGCCAACUCCAUUGCUGCCAAGGUUCGGAAAUCCAUGCUCGUGUUUGGGGCUCCCUGUGGCCUCCUCACUGGGACAGCCUUUAACCAUUGACACGUGUCUCAGAGGCGAGGCCCUUUGGAGAGCAGCAGCUCAGUGUGCCCUGCAGCAGCUCCCGACACCACCUUGAACUCUCAGUCCGAGUUGAGAUCUUGCCUCAGAUACUGUGCCAACUUGCCACCAGGAUUUGCAGGCAGCAAUGCAAAACUUGCCUUCAGACUUCCACAACAUGCUUGUGGAAACAUGCUGAUGCCUUCCUAGCUUGCAGCUCGAGGCAGCAGGUAGAGGAUGUGGAGUCUUCACUGACUGUGGUGCCCAGGUGCCAAGGUUGCAGCCGAAAGGUGUCUCUGAUGAAGAUUUGACUGUGCAACUGAGCAAGCUGCUCAUGAAGAGAGUUUUAAAUGAAACAGAUGGCUUAGCUGGUGGCUACUCACUGUGAAAAAUCAUUCCCAGUCUCCUGAGCUGACAGGUGACUUCAUCCUUUGUGUUUGAAAGCUGAACCUCAUGACUUGUGCCUAUCAACUCAGUUCCACUUACAUCAGCUAAGGAAAACAGUUUUGUGUUCCGGCUUUUCACGUGUUUCUCCCAAGGCUACUUCAGACUGUUCAAAACUGACUUCUCUUUUGACGGCUGCUCUCUUUGUACCAAAGCUUCACAGAUGUAUUUCCAUCACCUCUGCCCUGACAUUGACUUCUAUUUCUCCCAAUACUGUGGUCUGUGGUCCAGCACUUCCAUUGCUCCAUGAUAAGGCUGCAGCUGGGGAUUCUGGGGUGGAAGUAGAUGUUUUCUUCUAUUUCUCUAGUGAUAGAGUUCCAUGUACAUGCGUUGCUUGGAUUUCUAGGUGUUUCUGCAUUAUGCCUUCUGAAUCAUUUCCAAGGGUUUUCUAAGCUACUAAUCUUAACAUCACAUUCUUAACACACACCUAAAGCAUAUGUGGCUGAAGUGAUUGUUUUAGCAAUGAAGUGAUACAAACCCAGUACUCUGUGAUGCUUAGGAGCAAAAAGUGCUGCUUUUAAAUCUAUUUCUCUGGGCUGUGUGGCUCAGGGCAUCACACCAUGAUGUCACAGGGAUUAAGAUAUUCAUAUGGAACAUUCUAGUUUUUGAUAAAUAACAGUCCUUAAAUGUACUGGUGUUCUAUUCUUUGCCACCACUGACUAUCCUGUGUGUUUGAUCUUGUUAUUUAUAAAUACUAUAAGUAAAUUUCAUAUGAAAAACUCAAUACUCUGAAUUUAAAGUGCUUUAAAUCAGUGUUCUCAAAACCCCUCCCUCCCAGCGCUCCUUCCAGAAUGCAGUCUGAGCAGUCUACUUCUUUAUACUCUGCAGAAGGGCAGGGGAGCGAGUGCAGAUUUGAAAUCUACAUAUAUCUUCUGGAAAAUUGAAGCAGCA